rnacentral:sRNA from 1 species
UGUCUAUAAAUUCUUAGUCAUCGCACCC